GGUGACAGUAGGUGUCAGUAGAUGUCAAUAGGUGACGGUUAGUGUCAGUAGGUGUGUGUAUGUGUCAGUAGGUGUCAGUAGGUGUCAGUAGAUGUCAAUAGAUGGCGGUAAGUGUCAGUAGGUGACAGUAGGUGACGGUAAGUGUCAGUAGGUGACAGUAGGUGUCAGUAGGUGUGUGUACGUGUCAGUAGGUGUCAGUAGAUGUCAAUAGAUGGUGGUAAGUGUCAGUAGGUGACAGUAGGUGUCAGUAGGUGACGGUGAGUGACAGUAGGUGUCAGUAGG